UACAGAGGUCUCGAGCGUUGUUCGGAUUCAUUGGGCGUAAAGGGUGCGUAGGUGGCUAGGUAAGUCGGAUGUGAAAUCCCGGGGCUCAACCCCGGAACUGCAUUGGAUACUGCCUUGCUCGAGUACUGGAGAGGGAACUGGAAUUUACGGUGUAGCAGUGAAAUGCGUAGAGAUCGUAAGGAAGGCCAGUGGCGAAGGCGAGUUCCUGGUCAGUUACUGACGCUGAGGCACGAAGGCCAGGGGAGCAAACGGG
rnacentral:rRNA from 1 species